GCGGUAAUAUGGGAAAUCCAAACUACACUGCUUUCUGAUGACAUCAUGAAAAUGAAAAGAAUCUUAAGCAGAGAGGAUGUGUUGAAUAGAAGACAGUCUUUUUGGAGGGCAGCAUGGUUUUUCCCGAAAGACAUGAGUGUUAUAGUGACAAUUUAUUACUGUUUCCAAGUAAUACCCAAAAUCAUGCUAAUACCAUUGAAUAUCUCAUUGAUUUCAUGUAGUGAAGUCCAUUAUCAUUUACUUCUGUGAGUAUUGUGUUUGAAAUUUACAUGUUUUCAUGUAUAUAUUGAUUAAAUCAAUGAACACCAUU
rnacentral:misc_RNA from 1 species